GGACAAGUAAAAUGGCCUAAAGAGAACCAUUUCAAAAUAUUAGACCUUUCAUAAGUCUGACCUGUACAAAGGGUCACAGGAUCUUGCAUUGGCUCCAAAGAAAUAGGACAAAUAAACACAGGUGGAGUCUCAAUUGAAUCCAACUCUUCAAUCAUCUUACCAAGAUCCAAUUUCUCUCCAGCACCACCACCAUUCACAACCAACCCACCUCCCAAGAUCCCAUCUUUCACUGCAGUUUCAAGAUCCAUCACCUGCCCCCCACCACCAUUACCCAUCUGAUGCAUCCUCAUUGCUCACAAACACCUUCUAAACAAAAUCUAUAUAAACUCAAGCAAACCCGAGGAAAUAAAAGAACAUAAAAGAGACCCUUUUGACCAAGAUCUAGUAGUGUUCAACACAUAAGAAUUUAAGAACUAGACAGUGAAGCGUGUGGAGUAAAAAAGAGAAAGAUAAGCUCAUUGACAAAUACACACUCAAAGGGGACAUUUUUUCCUCAUGGCUUUUCUUUUUCUUUUGUUUGAGGCCUUUUAUCGAACACCCUUCUCUUUAUUUUUAUUUUUCUUGGUCAAAAGAAGCCAUGGUUUGCACAUAAAAUCAUCAUUAUAUAGAGAAUUAAUGAUGAAACUAGUACAAUGUAGUUUACUAAUACCAAAGCUCAAACUUUUCAGUGAAAUAACUCCCAACCCAGAUGAGAUAAUUAUUAAAAGUAAGAUCUCAGUUAAAAGAAAUCAUCUACUGACUGACCCACUACAAUGUUUAGCAGUAACAACCCAGACCCAAACGAGAGAGAGAGAGAGAGAGAGGGGGGGGGGGGCUAUAAGAGUAUACGAACAAUUUUUCAAUGUCAUUCAUCUUAUUGCUAUGGUAAGCUUACACUUGGAAUUGAAUAUUGUAUCUGUGCAAUUUAAACUACACAGUUUCAACAACUCUGCUGACCGUUGCUUUAGUAAGGGAUUGCACCCGCUCUGAAUAACAAGAAGCAGCUUCGCCGCUAGGCCUGCAUCAACAGCCAGUGCUGCACAUUCUUCUGGGGCAAGCUCAAAUAUUGCCCACAAAAUUGAUAACGCCAAAUGAGUGCAAUUCUUCGAAAUCUUCAUCAACAACUUGACAACAAUUGGAAUGGUGUUGGGGCAUUCCUUCAAAGCCAGCCUACCCUUUGGAAAGGAUGACAAGACUUCAAGGAUGUGCAAUGCUAGCUCUAAAGAUUCAGCAUUCAAAGUGGGCAACAUCUCAACCAGUUGAGGAACAACCCCAAUACUCACCACCGAGCUUCUCAAACCUUCAUAUGAACAAAUCUUCUUCAAUAACCGGAGUCCAGAUAAUACGCCAUUCGGGUAUCUCUUAUCCUUCACUAGCCUCAACAACCCUACCAAAAGACUCAGACUUGAAACAACUUCUGCCUUAGAAUCCUUCCCCUCAAUCAACAUUUCAAUCAAUUUUGUGCAAUUCAUCUUCGUAUCAAUUGACCCCUCAUUCAAUAUAUCCACAAUCAAAGAAAUCUUAGUGGGUUGAAUCAAAUUACUAAUUGCAUCUGAAUUGAGUUCCAAAUUUACCAAUAUCCCAAUUACAUCAGACCCAACAGCAUGAGUAGUAAAAUUACCCAAUAAACCAGAUAAAAAACUUACCCCACCAUUCUCCACAACUGUCUUCUUUGCAGAAUCAUGUGUGAUUACAACUUGCUUCAGCUCCCUCAAAGAAUGAACCCUAGCUUGACCCUUAACCUUCUUCAAUUUUUCCAAAAUCUCUAAAACCCUCCCUUGCACAUCCUCUGACCUCUUCUUCAUAGCCACAUACUUCUGCGAAAACCAACUAUAACUCAACUGAUACAAAGUACUAUUAGGAGUAACAGAAUCAUCCCAAAGCUCCUGCAUUGUAGUAGGACAAGUAAAAUGGCCUAAAGAGAACCAUUUCAAAAUAUUAGACCUUUCAUAAGUCUGACCUGUACAAAGGGUCACAGGAUCUUGCAUUGGCUCCAAAGAAAUAGGACAAAUAAACACAGGUGGAGUCUCAAUUGAAUCCAACUCUUCAAUCAUCUUACCAAGAUCCAAUUUCUCUCCAGCACCACCACCAUUCACAACCAACCCACCUCCCAAGAUCCCAUCUUUCACUGCAGUUUCAAG
rnacentral:lncRNA from 1 species